AGCUAUAAGGAUGUGAUGCUGGAAAACUAUAGUCACCUGGUCUCAGUGGGUUACCAUGUGAAUAAGCCAAAUGCAGUCUUCAAGUUGAAGCAAGAAAAAGAGUCUUGGAUAUUAGAAGUAGAAUUUCCACAUCGGGUCUUCCCUGGUGAGUUAGAAGAAAUUAUAUCCCAUGUUACUGGGAACACUGUCGUCCAAAGAAUUCAUGAUCUAGAAGCAAGAUACCAGGAAAGCCAAGCUGGAAAUUCAAGGAAUGGAGAACUCACAAAACAUCAGAAAACUCAUACCAUGGAGAAAGCCUAUGAAUGUAAGGAAUGUGGGAAGUUCUUCUGCCAGAAGUCUGCCCUCAUAGUACAUCAGCAUAGUCACUCAAAGGGCAAAUCCUAUGACUGUGAUAAAUGUGGGAAAUCUUUCUCUAAAAAUGAAGACCUCACAAGACAUCAGAAAGUUCACACUAGAGAUAAAACCUAUGGGUGUAAAGGAUGUAAGAAAAUAUUUUACCACCUAUCAUCUCUCAGUAGACAUCUGAGAACCCAUGCAGGAGAGAAACCCUAUGAAUGUAAUCAGUGUGAGAAAUCCUUCUACCAGAAACCACAUCUCAUAGAACAUCAGAAAACACACACAGGGGAGAAACCUUAUGAAUGUACUGAAUGUGGGAAUUUCUUCUAUGUGAAGGCAUACCUCAUGGUACAUCAGAAAACACACAUAGGGGAGAAACCCUAUGAGUGUAAGGAAUGUGGGAAAGCCUUUUCCCAGAAGUCACACCUAACAGUAGAGCAGAGAACACACACAGGGGAGAAACCCUAUAAAUGUAAGGAAUGUGGGAAAUUCUUCUCUAGGAAUUCACACCUCAAAACCCAUCAGAGAACUCACAGAGGAGAGAAAUGCUAUGAAUGUAAGGAAUGUAGGAAAUGCUUCUACCUGAAGUCAGCCCUCACAGUACAUCAGUGAAUUCACACAGGGGAGAAACCCUUUGAAUGUAAUAAAUGUGGGAAUACAUUUUACUAUAAAUCAGACCUCACUUAACAUCAGAGAAAACACACAGGGGAUAAGCCCUAUGAAUGCAUAGAAUGUGGCAAAUCUUUCUCCGUGAAUUUGGUCCUCAGAUUACAUCAAAAGACUCACACAGGAGAGAAGCCCUAUGCAUGCAAGGAAUGUGGGAAGUCCUUUUCUCAGAAAUCACAUUUUAUUAUACAUCAGAGAAAACACACAAGGAAGAAGCCCUAUGAGUGUUAGGAGUGUGAGAAGACCUUUAUCCAGAAGUCACAACUCACUGCACAUCAGAAGACACACACAAAGAAGAGGAAGGCUGAGAAGUAAGAUGAGUUGGGAAAUUCUCUUGACUGAAUUCAUCCUUCAAAACAAUCAGAUAAUUCACACAAG